GGCCCCAUGGUCAAGAGGUUAAGACACGGCCCUUUCACGGCUGUAACGGGGGUUCGAUUCCCCCUGGGGUCACCA
rnacentral:tRNA from 1 species